rnacentral:rRNA from 1 species
GAUGAACGCUGGCGGCGUGCCUAAUACAUGCAAGUCGAACGCAUAGCGAAAGGUGCUUGCACCUUUCAAGUGAGUGGCGAACGGGUGAGUAACACGUGGACAACCUGCCUCAAGGCUGGGGAUAACAUUUGGAAACAGAUGCUAAUACCGAAUAAAACUUAGUGUCGCAUGACACAAAGUUAAAAGGCGCUUCGGCGUCACCUAGAGAUGGAUCCGCGGUGCAUUAGUUAGUUGGUGGGGUAAAGGCCUACCAAGACAAUGAUGCAUAGCCGAGUUGAGAGACUGAUCGGCCACAUUGGGACUGAGACACGGCCCAAACUCCUACGGGAGGCUGCAGUAGGGAAUCCUCCACAAUGGGCGAAAGCCUGAUGGAGCAACGCCGCGUGUGUGAUGAAGGCUUUCGGGUCGUAAAGCACUGUUGUAUGGGAAGAACAGCUAGAAUAGGAAAUGAUUUUAGUUUGACGGUACCAUACCAGAAAGGGACGGCUAAAUACGUG